CGUAGCUGGGUUGUUAAGUCUCUUGGGAAAUCUGGCGGCUUAACCGUCAGGCGUCUAAGGGAUACUGGCAAUCUUGGAACCGGGAGAGGUGAGGGGUACUUCGGGGGUAGGAGUGAAAUCCUGUAAUCCUCGAGGGACCACCUGUGGCGAAGGCGCCUCACCAGAACGGCUUCGACAGUGAGGGACGAAAGCUGGGGGAGCAAACCGGAUUAGAUACCCGGGUAGUCCCAGCCGUAAACUAUGCGCGUUAGGUGUAUCGGUGACCACGAGUUACCGAGGUGCCGAAGGGAAACCGUGAAACGUGCCGCCUGGGAAGUACGGUCGCAAGGCUGAAACUUAAAGGAAUUGGCGGGGGAGCACCACAACAGGUGGAGCCUGCGGUUUAAUUGGACUCAACGCCGGGAAGCUCACCGGAUAGGACAGCAGAAUGAUUGCCGGGCUGAAGACCCUGCAUGACUAGCUGAGAGGAGGUGCAUGGCCGUCGUCAGUUCGUACUGUGAAGCAUCCUGUUAAGUCAGGCAACGAGCAAGACCCACGCCAACAGUUGCCAGCAUGGUCUCCGGACUGAUGGGGACACUGUUGGGACCGCCUCUGCUAAAGAGGAGGAAGGAAUGGGCAACGGUAGGUCAGCAUGCCCCGAAUUAUCCGGGCUACACGCGGGCUACAAUGGGCAGGACAAUGGGCAUCGACACCGUGAGGUGGAGGCAAUCUCCUAAACCUGUCCUUAGUUCGGAUUGUGGGCUGAAACUCGCCCACAUGAAGCUGGAAUCUGUAGUAAUCGCGUUUCAAAAUAACGCGGUGAAUUUGUCCCUGCUCCUUGCACACACCGCCCGUAA
rnacentral:rRNA from 1 species